ACGGGGUGCAGCAGGCGAGAAAACUUUGCAAUGUGCGAAAGCACGACAAGGUUAAUCCGAGUGAUUUCUGCUAAAGGAAUCUUUUGUCAGUCCUAGAAACACUGUUGAAUAAGGGGUGGGCAAGUUCUGGUGUCAGCCGCCGCGGUAAAACCAGCACCUUAAGUGGUCAGGAUGAUUAUUGGGCCUAAAGCAUCCGUAGCCGGCCCUGUAAGUUUUCGGUUAAAUCUGUACGCUCAACGUACAGGCUGCUGGGAAUACUGCAGGGCUAGGGAGUGGGAGAGGUAGACGGUACUCGGGAGGAAGUGGUAAAAUGCUUUGAUCUCUCGAUGACCACCUGUGGCGAAGGCGGUCUACCAGAACACGUCCGACGGUGAGGGAUGAAAGCUGGGGGAGCAAACCGGAUUAGAUACCCGGGUAGUCCCAGCUGUAAACUAUGCAAACUCAGUGAUGCACUGGCUUAUGGCUAGUGCAGUGUUGCAGGGAAGCCGUUAAGUUUGCCGCCUGGGAAGUACGUACGCAAGUAUGAAACUUAAAGGAAUUGGCGGGGGAGCAC
rnacentral:rRNA from 1 species